rnacentral:rRNA from 1 species
UACGAAGGGUGCAAGCGUUACUCGGAAUUACUGGGCGUAAAGCGUGCGUAGGCGGUUCGUUAAGUCCGUUGUGAAAGCCCUGGGCUCAACCUGGGAAUGGCAGUGGAUACUGGCGAGCUAGAGUGUGAUAGAGGAUGGUGGAAUUCCCGGUGUAGCGGCGAAAUGCGUAGAGAUCGGGAGGAACACCAGUGGCGAAGGCGGCCAUCUGGAUCAACACUGACGCUGAGGCACGAAAGCGUGGGGAGCAAACAGG